rnacentral:rRNA from 1 species
AUUGAACGCUGGCGGAAUGCUUUACACAUGCAAGUCGAACGGCAGCACGGGGGCAACUCUGGUGGCGAGUGGCGAACGGGUGAGUAAUACAUCGGAACGUGCCCAGUCGUGGGGGAUAGCGUAGCGAAAGUUACGCUAAUACCGCAUACGAUCUACGGAUGAAAGCGGGGGACCGUAAGGCCUCGCGCGAUUGGAGCGGCCGAUGUCAGAUUAGGUAGUUGGUGAGGUAAAGGCUCACCAAGCCGACGAUCUGUAGCUGGUCUGAGAGGACGACCAGCCACACUGGGACUGAGACACGGCCCAGACUCCUACGGGAGGCAGCAGUGGGGAAUUUUGGACAAUGGGCGCAAGCCUAAUCCAGCCAUUCCGCGUGCAGGACGAAGGCCUUCGGGUUGUAAACUGCUUUUGUACGGAACGAAAAGGCUCUGGUUAAUACCUGGGGCUCAUGACGGUACCGUAAGAAUAAGCACCGGCUAACUACGUGCCAGCCGCCGCAGUAA